CAGUAGCCGCGGGAACACGUAGGUGGCAAGCGUUGUCCGGAAUUAUUGGGCGUAAAGCGUGCGCAGGCGGUUCUAUAAGACAGAUGUGAAUCCCCGGGCUCAACCUGGGAACUGCAUUUGUGACUGUAGAGCUGGAGUGCGGCAGAGGGGGAUGGAAUUCCGCGUGUAGCAGUGAAAUGCGUAGAUAUGCGGAGGAACACCGAUGGCGAAGGCGAUCCCCUGGGCCUACACUGACGCUCAUGCACGAAAGCGUGGGGAGCAAACAGGAUUAGAUACCCCCGUAGUCCCUGUCUCUUAUACA
rnacentral:rRNA from 1 species